UACGUAGGUGGCAAGCGUUGUCCGGAAUUAUUGGGCGUAAAGCGCGCGCAGGCGGUUCCUUAAGUCUGAUGUGAAAGCCCACGGCUCAACCGUGGAGGGCCAUUGGAAACCGGGGAACUUGAGUACAGAAGAGGAAAGUGGAAUUCCACGUGUAGCGGUGAAAUGCGUAGAGAUGUGGAGGAACACCAGUGGCGAAGGCGACUUUCUGGUCUGUAAUUGACGCUGAGGCUCGAAAGCGUGGGGAGCAAACAGG
rnacentral:misc_RNA from 1 species